UUAACAGCCUUAAAAUGUUAAAUUCAACUAAUAGUUUAAGUAUUGGUAAUACCAAAUAUCAAUUUAUAAUUUAUUUUAUUUUAUAAAAAUGACUAUGACGUUGUAUUUACCCAAUGCUUUGGCGCUGUAAUCGCAAUUGUGGCGGUCUCGUGGCGACUGUGACCCAUCCUCCGGCAAUACACAUAAUUAACACGCCUCGGCGCCAUCAAACGCACACGUGGGAAACUAACUAAAUAAAGUGAGAAACAAACAACAAAGACGUCGAAAACAAAGUAAACGACAAAGAUGCCGAGAACACAAAAGAAAUCAUUUAUUCUUUCUUGGACUCUUCUCGAAGUCACUGCUGUAACUGCUGAAAGUCACAAGCUGAUCUAUUGUAUAUCGAACAAAACUAAAUAAAAAUAAUACUAUUGUUAUUUGAUGUGCAAAGUUUCAGCGCGUAAACUAUAGACGACAUUUCUUAUUAUUAGAUCGAACAUUAGAUCGAAAUAGGGCUGUACAUAAAUAAGAUAUAAUUUACUUAUACAUUUUUAUGUAAAGAAUUCAAAAAGUACACAAUAUGUUAAUAUGAUAUCCAUGAAUGUACGGCGUAGAACGAACCAGUUGCGAGAAUGUUUUCACUUGAGCGUUGACGAAACUGUGUUUAUUUGAUUAGAAUAACGAUUACCCAUCGUCACGGAAAAGUUACAAAAAAUGCCCAAAGUGGCUAAGAUGAAAAACAAAGCACCCGAGAAAAUUUAAAUCAUAGCAAAACAGCUAUUAAGAGAAACAAAGAAAAAAAUCUUUAUGCAAUACUGUUAUACCUAUCUAUAAUUUUACAUAGAGAAUAAUUCAUUUGUAAGUAUCCCCUUUUAUCCACCUAAGCAGAAAAUAAAAAAUCCCCAUAAAUUGGUUGAUUAUCAAUAUGGAAAAUGAAAUACCUAUGACUACAAUAUGUGUAAGAAUCAUAUGGUUAUAACGAAUCUGAUGAAAUAUGCCCGAUGGGAAAAAAAUUAGAAACAAUGCAAAGAGCAAGAGAUUUAUUAUAGAAACACGUCAAGUUUUUGAACGAUGGAUGGAAUGGGGACCUGACUAAGAGGCAUGGUAAACAUAAAUUAAAUUUGAAUUACGAUAUAAAGAAAUACAAAGAGCUAGGUAGAGAUAUAUAAUUGUAUAGGGAGAUAUAUAGUUUUGUAAUAAAUGUAGGACGCAAAGUUUAUGAAGAUGUUAUAAACUUUUUCGGAGAUGAAAACUUAGAUGAAAAGCUAUUUAUAGCAUUUGCAGGAUUUGAAAAAGGACAAAGAGAAGUAUUAUUUUAAGAUAACAAUAUAUUUUGUAUCUCUGUUAUAAGUAUAAUUUUAAUAUUUCUCUGAUAGCAUGAUAAAACAAAAAUAAUUUCUAAGUAUGCUUUAGACAAUAUUUCAAAAGAAGGAACAAAAGAAAUAUAUGAUGCAUAUACCAUACACGAAAAGAAAUAUGAUGAUUUUGCAAGUAAUUUAUACUAUAAAGAUUAAGAUUUAUUUAAUACGAAAUAUAAAUUUAAAAGUUUUAAGUAUUAAUAUGGAUUUGUACAAAUUUAUAAAAAAAUAACACAAAUUUCAUAACAUUUUUAAAUAGGCAUUGAAGAUGUAAUAAUUACUAAAAGAAAAUUUCAAUAGGAGCAAGCAGUCAAGGAAAAUUCUUCUAUGAUGCUCGGUUUGACUAUUUGAGAUUAGUAAAAUCUAAAGAAAAUCAUAAUGUUGUAAGAGCAUAUGAACGAGCUAUAGCAAAUGUCCCUUCUACUAAGGUAAUGAAUAUUUAUAUUUUAACAAUUUUGAAGUCAAAUUGAAGUUCCUUUCCAUUAAAUAAAUUUUUUAUCGGAGCAUGGAAACGAUAUGUCUAUCUGUACAUAAAUUAUGCUUUGUAUGAAGAAAUUGACACGGAAGUUAUAGAUAGAUGUCGUCAAAUUUACAGUUUGGAUAUAUCUGAACUUUUAUGGAAGUCAUAUAUAGAUUUUGAAAUAUCUCAGGAUGAAAUAGAAAAUAUCAGACAACUAUUAGAGAGAUUAUUAGAACGAAAUGUUCAUGUCAAAUUAAUUCUCCAUCGGAAGAUGAUGGUGAUAAUGUUACCUUAGCUCGUAGAAUUUUUGAACAUGGGAAUUAUGCAUUAUUUGCAAACGGUGACAAAGAAAGGAGAAUAUUACUUUUGGGAACAUGGAGAGAUUUCGAAAAAGAGAAAGGAGACAAACAAAAUAGAUUAAUAUUAUUGUCAAAAUGCCUAGAAGAAUUAAAUGAAGAAGUCGAAUGGUUGAAGAAGAUGGAGUAUGUAGUUUUUAUAAUAUACAUUAAAUAGUACAAUAACAUUGAAUAGUUUUGGAGGAAUUUAAAUUAAAAAGAAGUAUUCUUAAUUUAUAUUAAUAAUAAUCUAUAUU